rnacentral:rRNA from 1 species
GACGAACGCUGGCGGCGUGCUUAACACAUGCGAGUCGAACGGAAAGGCCCUGCUUUUGUGGGGUGCUCGAGUGGCGAACGGGUGGGUAACACGUGAGUAACCUGCCCUUGACUUUGGGGUAACUUCAGGAAACUGGGGCUAAUAACGGAUAGGAGCUCCUGCUGCAUGGUGGGGGUUGGAAAGUUUCGGCGGUUGGGGAUGGACUCGCGUCUUAUCAGCUUGUUGGUGGGGUAGUGGCUUACCAAGGCUUUGACGGGUAGCCGACCUGAGAGGGUGACCGGCCACAUUGGGACUGGGAGGCGGCCCAGAGGACUACGGGGGGAAGCAGGGGAGAAUAUUGCACAAUGGGCGGAAGCCUGAUGCAGCAACGCCGGGUGCGGGAGGACGGCCUUCGGGUGGGAAACCGCUUUCGCGUGUGACGAGGCGUGAGGAACGGUAAUGGGGAAAGAAGCACGGGCAAACUACGG